rnacentral:rRNA from 1 species
AUGAUUUGGGCUGUAGAAGCUGGUGGACAGAAGAAGAAAGGGCGAGGUGUUCUAAAAGGUUUUAAAGCAUCUAAGAAGCGUUUUGCCAAUGGAUCUGCAAAGCUAAAUAUUACAUUCUCUGAAAAAUUGGGUGGUACAGUAGGAAUGAACUAUCGUUCGUUCAAGGAUGACGUGGUAGUCAUAAUGAAAAGAAAGUUACCACUCAUUGGAUUGAGGACGUGGUCGGACAUUCACCCUACCAUUCAUCGACUCAUUGUUGCAGAUAUGAUUGACAGAUGGGACCUGGAAGAUACACCAGAAACAGAAGAAAAAGUUCUCAAAAUUGCGAAAGAGAGAUAUAGAGGCUGGCGAUCAACUCUAAGCUCCACUUACAAGGCAUACAAAACAGAUGCAUUGGCUAAUCUGCCUGAAGAUUUACAACCAGAAGAGUGGGAAUGGAUGAUUGAGUACUUUGGCACUGAUUCAAAAUUUCAGGAAUGCAGCCAAAAGAACGCUGAUAACCGUAAGAAACAGAAGACAAAACAUAUAAUCGGAUCAAAAUCUUACUCGCAAGUUAGUUUUGAGAAGAGAAACUUAGAAACUGGAGAAGAGCCAGAUUGUAUUGCUCUAUGGGAACUCACCCACACAAACAAUGGAACAUGGUCUAACACAGAUUCCCAGAAAGUUUACGACCAAGCACUUGAAGAGGUUAAAAACAAAGAAGCUGAAACUGAAGGUCCACUUUCAAGUGAGCAGAAAAACAAUGUUUUCCAGACCGCUUACAAAGACACUCUGGAAUGCAAGUCAUCGCAGCCUCGUGGGUACGGAUACAUGGCCAAAACUUCAACUGGUUCUGAAAAGUUCCGUAUCCAGAUUGAAGAGCAAGCUCGUGCUACAGCAGCCACCCAGGAGUGA